UACGUAGGGGGCAAGCGUUGUCCGGAUUUAUUGGGCGUAAAGAGCGUGUAGGCGGCCAUGUAGGUCCGUUGUGAAAACUCGAGGCUCAACCUCGAGACGUCGGCGGAAACCAUCUGGCUAGAGUCCGGAAGAGGAGAGUGGAAUUCCUGGUGUAGCGGUGAAAUGCGCAGAUAUCAGGAAGAACACCAAUGGCGAAGGCAGCUCUCUGGGACGGUACUGACGCUGAGACGCGAAAGCGUGGGGAGCGAACAGG
rnacentral:rRNA from 1 species